rnacentral:rRNA from 1 species
GAUGAACGCUAGCUACAGGCUUAACACAUGCAAGUCGAGGGGUAGCAGGGUAGCAAUACCGCUGACGACCGGCGCACGGGUGAGUAACACGUAUCCAACCUUCCCAUAACUCGGGGAUAGCCUUUCGAAAGAAAGAUUAAUACCCGAUAGUACUUUUUCAAGGCAUCUUGAGAAAGUUAAAGAUUUAUUGGUUAUGGAUGGGGAUGCGUUCCAUUAGAUAUUUGGUGAGGUAACGGCUCACCAAGUCUUCGAUGGAUAGGGGUUCUGAGAGGAAGGUCCCCCACAGUGUUACUGAGACACGGACCAAACUCCUACGGGAGGCAGCAGUGAGGAAUAUUGGUCAAUGGGCGAGAGCCUGAACCAGCCAAGUAGCGUGAAGGAUGAAGGUCCUAUGGAUUGUAAACUUCUUUUAUAGUAGAAUAAAGUGAUCCACGUGUGGAUUUUUGUAUGUAUACUAUGAAUAAGGAUCGGCUAACUCCGUGCCAGCCGCCGCCGUAAGAC